AUGGACAUGAGGGUUUCUGCUUGGCUCCUGGGGCUCCUGCUGCUCUGGCUCCCAGGAAAGAAAGGGAACAUUAGGAAUUUACUCAGACAAUGUGACAUCCAGAUGACACAGUCUCUAUCCUUCCUGUCUGCAUCUGUAGGAGAUAGAGUCACUGUCACUUGCCAUGCGAGUCAGGGAAUUAGCAAUGAAUUACCCUGGUAUCAGCAGAAACCAGGGAAAGCCCCUACACUCUUGAUCUAUGCUGCAACCAAAUUGCAGUCGGGAAUCCCAUCUCAGUUCAGUGGCAGUGGAUCUGGGACAGAUUUCACUCUCACCAUCGGCAGCCUGCAGCCUGAUGAUUUUGCCACUUAUGACUGUCACCAGGAUGACAGUUACCCUCCACAGUGUUGCAGGCCAUAA